rnacentral:rRNA from 1 species
ACACGACUACAUUAGAUACCCGCGUAGUCCUAGCCGUAAACGAUACUCGCUGGGUGUCGGCCACGGUGCGACCGUUGUCGGUGCCGUAGGGAAGCCGUGAAGCGAGCCACCUGGGAAGUACGGCCGCAAGGCUAGAAACUUAAAGGAAUUGGCGGGGGAGCACCGCAACGGGAGGAGCGUGCGGUUCAAUUGGAUUCAACGCCGAAAACUCACCAGGAGCGACGGAUAUAUGAAGGUCAAGCUGAUGACUUACCUGAUUUCCG